rnacentral:rRNA from 1 species
UUUAACUGAAGAGUUUGAUCAUGGCUCAGAUUGAACGCUGGCGGCAGGCUUAACACAUGCAAGUCGAGCGGGGGAAGGUAGCUUGCUACCGGACCUAGCGGCGGACGGGUGAGUAAUGCUUAGGAAUCUGCCUAUUAGUGGGGGACAACAUCUCGAAAGGGAUGCUAAUACCGCAUACGUCCUACGGGAGAAAGCAGGGGAUCUUCGGACCUUGCGCUAAUAGAUGAGCCUAAGUCGGAUUAGCUAGUUGGUGGGGUAAAGGCCUACCAAGGCGACGAUCUGUAGCGGGUCUGAGAGGAUGAUCCGCCACACUGGGACUGAGACACGGCCCAGACUCCUACGGGAGGCAGCAGUGGGGAAUAUUGGACAAUGGGGGGAACCCUGAUCCAGCCAUGCCGCGUGUGUGAAGAAGGCCUUAUGGUUGUAAAGCACUUUAAGCGAGGAGGAGGCUACUUUAGUUAAUACCUAGAGAUAGUGGACGUUACUCGCAGAAUAAGCACCGGCUAACUCUGUGCCAGCAGCCGCGGUAAUACAGAGGGUGCGAGCGUUAAUCGGAUUUACUGGGCGUAAAGCGUGCGUAGGCGGCUUAUUAAGUCGGAUGUGAAAUCCCCGAGCUUAACUUGGGAAUUGCAUUCGAUACUGGUGAGCUAGAGUAUGGGAGAGGAUGGUAGAAUUCCAGGUGUAGCGGUGAAAUGCGUAGAGAUCUGGAGGAAUACCGAUGGCGAAG